rnacentral:pre_miRNA from 1 species
ACAACAUUCGGACCGUCGGUCUAUCGAGCUAUGACCCGCUUGAUCCAUCAAGCUUGAAUGAAGAUCUUACCUUUGUCGU